CGUCACUGCCCCCUCCCUGCCGCCGCCAUGCCAGCCUGGGCGGGCGGCGCUCAGGGCCUGGUACUGCCCUUGGCGGCGGGGGCCUCGUUUCUCGGCUGCUUCCAUCCCCAACCGGUAGCACGGUCUGGGGCCGUGCCACGCCGCCGUUCCGGGGAGCCCCGGCGCCGCGGGGAAGGGUGUGAUGACCAACUAUCAGACGAACCACCCUUUUGAAACUCAGGAAAAUGUCAGAGGGGACAAGGAUAGCUCCCACACGUCCUCUGGGACUGGCAGGAGAAUGCUGUGUAACCUGGGGUUCAGUGGCAGACCUGCAGUGCCUACGCAGCCUGAGUGCAGCCGACGGGAUGGCUCAGCUCAGCGGUGGUGGGUCUUUUGUGGGGGGUGGCAGAGGUUCGCUGAAUUAUACCUAGCUACAGCCCUGCUGGAGCAUAAUCUCUGUCUGUUUGAAGUUUGUAACCUUUCUUUCAAAACUGUCUGACAUGCUCAGAGCAAGGCUCUGCCAGCUCAGCGCUGCCUGUGCAGAGGAGCCAGGGAGCAGCGGGUUGCUGUGGGAACUGCCCGCUGUGCCAUCGCAAUGCUGCGGCCGUCGCAAGCUCUCCCGCUGCAAUCGGCACGGCCUGCUUCGGCUUCCCACUGCAUUUCCACAUGCUGCUUUUCACCUCCUCCUCAGCUCUGCCCGAUGAGUGCAGCCCAGCAAGACACCAGCGCGCCAGCUCGGGAGCGAGCGUGGGGAGAGCGAGGUGACGUGAGCCUGAGCUGCAAAUCUCUUCAUGGAUAGUGAGCCCCCAAAGCAGCCUUCCUGCCAUGUUCUCCUUGCAGGACUGCACCCACCUUGCUCCAGAGAGGAAUGGAAAAAACCAGGAAAGUCCAUGAUGAAUGCUGGAAGGAAAGAUCUUUUUCACUGGUUUUGUGAAGUUUAAUUUGUUAUUUAGGGUAAAAUUGCAGCAUUCAGAAAAUAAAGGCAUGAUGGAUAGA